rnacentral:rRNA from 1 species
GAGGGUCUCGCGGCCUAUCAGCUAGUUGGCGGGGUAACGGCCCACCAAGGCGACGACGGGUAGCUGGUCUGAGAGGAUGGCCAGCCACAUUGGGACUGAGACACGGCCCAGACUCCUACGGGAGGCAGCAGUGGGGAAUCUUGCGCAAUGGCCGCAAGGCUGACGCAGCGACGCCGCGUGUGGGAUGACGGCCUUCGGGUUGUAAACCACUGUCAGGGGGAACGAAUACUCGGCUACGAAUAGCAGACCGAGGGUGACGGUACCUCCAAAGGAAGCACCGGCUAACUCCGUGCCAGCAGCCGCGGUAAUACGGAGGGUGCGAGCGUUGACCGGAAUCACUGGGCGUAAAGGGCGCGUAGGCGGCCCGUUAAGUGGCUGGUGAAAUCCCGGGGCUCAACUCCGGGGCUGCCGGUCAGACUGGCGAGCUAGAGCACGGUAGGGGCAGAUGGAAUUCCCGGUGUAGCGGUGGAAUGCGUAGAGAUCGGGAAG